rnacentral:rRNA from 1 species
AUGAAAGAUUUAGGAGUGGCUGAUGUCAUUCUGAACAUCAAGUUGUUGAGAGAUGAUGAUGGUGGGAUUACAUUGCUUCAAUCUCACUAUGUGGAAAAGAUCUUGAGUCGCUUUGGCUAUAGUGACUGCAAGCCCUCUCCAACACCAUAUGAUGCUAGCGUGCUGCUUCGAAAGAAUCGAAGAAUUGCUAGAGAUCAAUUGAAGUAUUCUCAGAUUAUUGGCUCGCUUAUGUACUUAGCCAGUGCUACAAGACCUGACAUCUCUUUUGCUGUUAGCAAGCUGAGCCGGUUUGUCUCAAAACCGGGAGAUGUGCAUUGGAAAGCUCUAGAGAGAGUUUUGCGUUAUUUGAAAGGCACUGUAAACUAUGGAAUUCACUACACUGGGCACCCAAAGGUGCUUGAAGGGUAUAGUGACUCAAACUGGAUCUCAGAUGCUGAUGAGAUAAAGGCCACGAGCGGAUAUGUGUUCACUCAUGGAGGUGGCGCUGUUUCUUGGAAGUCUUGCAAGCAGACCAUCUUAACGAGGUCAACUAUGGAAGCAGAACUCACAGCACUAGAUACAGCUACGGUCGAAGCAGAUUGGCUUCGCCGACUCUUGAAUGACUUGUCGGUUGUUGAGAAACCUGUACCGGGUAUCCUUAUGAACUGUGACAAUCAAACUGUGAUCACGAAAGUGAACAGCUCUAAGGAUAACAUGAAGUCAUCAAGACACGUUCAGAGAAGGUUGAAGUCUGUCAGGAAAAUGAGAAACUCUGGAGUUAUUGCAUUGGAUUAUAUCCAAACGUCUAAAAAUCUGGCAGAUCCUUUCACUAAGGGUCUAUCACGUAAUGUGAUAGAUAAUGCAUCGAGGGAGAUGGGUAUGAGACCCACAAUAUGA